UACGUAGGUGGCAAGCGUUGUUCGGAAUUAUUGGGCGUAAAGGGCGCGUAGGCGGCAUGUUAAGUCGGCUGUGAAAGCCUGGGGCUCAACCCCAGAGGGUCGGCCGAUACUGGCAAGCUAGAGUACGGAAGAGGUAGCUGGAAUUCCCGGUGUAGCGGUGAAAUGCGUAGAUAUCAAGAGGAACACCUGAGGGGAAGACGGGUUGCUGGGCCGACACUGACGCUGAGUGCGCGAAAGCCAGGGGAGCAAACGGG
rnacentral:rRNA from 1 species